rnacentral:lncRNA from 1 species
AAUCUUUUUUUAACACACAACUAAUUUGAUUGGCCUUUGGUUAAAUUAAAUUUCAGGAUUUUCCCAUAUCUGGUUGUGUAACAAUGUGAUUCUUUGAAAUAUAGAUCUAAUGAAUGAGUUUUGUUUGUAUUUGUUACUUUUGAUAUGAUGUCAAAUGCAAUAAUAAAUCAAAUUUGUAGUGAUGAAAAUGAUACCAUGUUGAGUGCGAAAAUCUAUUGCAAACAUGAAACUUACUUUUAAUGCAAACUUCAUGGUCGAAGGACAAUAUAGGAGAAUACAUGCAACUUCUUUAGAUGGAGGGUUCAUGAAGAUGUUGAUAUACGAUCCAAGUUCGUUAUUCUCAGAUUGGCGAACAAAAUUAGGGGGUUGAAAACUGAUGAUGAAAGUCAUAUUAAAAGAAGUAUCGAAUGGGGGAUGAAGGAGAAGAAGAAGACCAAAUGUUGUAGCAUGUGAAAACUAAUCUUUGUGUUAUUUCUCUUGUAUUAUUAAGCAUUACCAAGAAGAAUACUAUAGAGGAUAGACAAUUCUUAUAUAGUUGUGUACAACCAUUAAAAUCAUCUAAAAAUAAUUCAUUAUUCCACUCUACAUCAAAAAUUUAGGUAGCAACUUGAAGACCGAUUGUAUGUAUGUCAAAAAUUUGGUAUGUUCCAUACCCUUCAGCAGACAUUUAUAAGCAUUCAUGUGACCAUCGUGCAAAAUUAUCUCGAG